ensembl:snRNA U2 U2 spliceosomal RNA
AUCGCUUCUUGGCCUUUUGGCUAAGAUCAAGUGUAGUAUCUGUUCUUAUCAGUUUCUCGGUGGGAGUCGUGGGGUGAAUGGGGCACCACUGAGAAGUGUUUUUUUAGCCCCAACCGCUAGCACUUUGAGCCCCAUCAGCUUUU